CCUACGGGAGGCAGCAGUGGGGAAUAUUGGGCAAUGGGCGAAAGCCUGACCCAGCAACGCCGCGUGAAGGAAGAAGGCUUUCGGGUUGUAAACUUCUUUUGUCAGGGAACAAUGGCGGGGACUAGUCCCCGGAUGAGGGUACCUGAAGAAAAAGCAUCGGCUAACUCCGUGCCAGCAGCCGCGGUAAUACGGAGGAUGCGAGCGUUAUCCGGAUUAUUGGGUUUAAAGGGUGCGCAGGCGGCCUGUUAAGUCAGCGGUAAAAGCCCGGGGCUCAACCCCGGCGAGCCGUUGAAACUGGCGGGCUGGAGUUGGAGAGAAGUACGCGGAAUGCGCGGUGUAGCGGUGAAAUGCUUAGAUAUCGCGCAGAACCCCGAUUGCGAAGGCAGCGUACCGGCUCCACACUGACGCUGAGGCACGAAAGCGUGGGUAUCGAACAGGAUUAGAUACCCGGGUAGUC
rnacentral:rRNA from 1 species